GAUGAACGCUGGCGGCGUGCCUAACACAUGCAAGUCGAGCGAUUUACUUCGGUAAAGAGCGGCGGACGGGUGAGUAACGCGUGGGUAACCUGCCCUGUACACACGGAUAACAUACCGAAAGGUAUGCUAAUACGGGAUAAUGUACUUUUGUCGCAUGGCAAAAGUAUCAAAGCUCCGGCGGUACAGGAUGGACCCGCGUCUGAUUAGCUAGUUGGUGAGGUAACGGCUCACCAAGGCGACGAUCAGUAGCCGACCUGAGAGGGUGAUCGGCCACAUUGGAACUGAGACACGGUCCAAACUCCUACGGGUGGCU
rnacentral:rRNA from 1 species